CUGCGGCCGCGCGCCGGGCCGCCUGUGUGGAGAGUGGCGGACCGUUCGCUCCUCCGGGAGUCGGGGAGCCAAGGGCGGGGCGGCCCCCAGCUCGCUCGGACCCCCUGCCCGAGAGGGAAACGCUGGCGGAGGAGACUGGGAGGGAUGGACGGCCCCGGGGUAUGAGCUUUGCACUUCAUUGCUGGCUGUAAAUAAGAACUUGGAAUCUAUCUGUUGGAUCCACCAUAAGGAAUGUGCCAGAAAGAGGCACUAUAGUGCUGCACCUGUCCACUUACCAGGAACUUGGUGGGGUGGUGUUACCAACAUGAAAAUGAGACACGGGCUUCAUCUCCCAGAAACAUGAAAAUAGGAUUAUUCAUCAACUUUGUGCUAAAGCAGAGAGAUGCGGGAGUGACCUGAAGUCCCUGCUGUCCUCCUCCUCAGGCUGGGUUGUAGGAGACCUGUGGAUCGCGGCCCUCACUUUUGAAGGGAAAGGAAGCAUAGAUCUAAUAGAAGUAACUUCCUGCUCCAGGAGCCCCAAGUAACAAGCUUGGAAAUGUGGGAGACUCCUGGAAGAGGACCAUCCUACUUCCUGGUUAGCAACUAUCUCACCAGCUACAAAAUAUGCCCGUGGUGGAGACAUAAAAACCGGUGAUAAGCCAAUCAUCUUUCUCCUUUUAUAAGGGUUUACUUUGUGUCUUUGGGGCCGAAAAAGAGUAUUCUUUAAUUUAGUUUUCAGGUAACACAGGUGAAUUUUUGGGUAAAUUUCUUUUGUGUUACCUGAUAAAAGAAAAAGCAGAUAUGAUCUUUGUGAAUUCAAUAACCAACACUCAAAAACAAAACAAAACAAAACACCCCUGCCCAUCACAGAUUGGACUGAAGAAAACUUAAGUCUACAGAGAUAAAACUCAUUUUAAAUCAAGGACAGGACAUGUAAAAUCUAGCACAUAAAGAAGCAAAGACAGAAAUAAUUUACACCAGGGAUUGCAAGCCACAAUUGUGAAAAAUGGAAAAAUUUCUUAACAUUUUUGAUAAUCAAGGAAAUGCACAUUAAAUCAAUGAUGUAUCAUUUAACUAAAUUAAGAAAAAUUAAAACAUGUCAGCACCUUUAAAGGGCACAGUGUUAGGGGAAUAGACUUACUCAUACAAUGCUGGUAGCAAUGUUAUUGAAUCAGCUUUCUUUAAAUUGGUCUGGAAAGAUUCUCACAAGCACUGUAAUUAUCUUCAAACCACUCCAUUCCUGAGAAUUUAUAUUAAGGUUCAAUUUAUCAUGAAAGUUAUUCAAAAUGAGAAAGAAACCCAUCAUUUUUAGUCCUAUAAAAAUAAUAAAAUGAAAGUACCAGUAGUAUCAUAAUGUAUCAAGCUGAUACAAUAUUAACUUAUAAGAAGAAUUGUUGAAUUUAUGUUGUAACAUACAAAUAUGUCUAAAAAAAGUUAGAAUCGUCAUCACAUAUACACAGUGACAACAAUCCUGUAAAAAAAGAGAAAAUGAACAUACUUGGGAUAAAACUGAGCACAAAAAUAAAAACAGUUGUUGUGUAAAGAAAAAAAUAUUUUUCUAAUCAACAAUAGUGUUAUAAAAAUUCUUAAACAAUUCUUUUGAAGUCAAAAGUAAAAGUCAAGAAGUCCAAUUAAAAGACAUGAAAUUUGAAAAUAAAAUUUUAGCUAGCUAAGAGCUCACGGCUGGAGCUCUAGCAUAACAAGGUAAUCUUUUCUGGAUCUUAAACAAAGAGAACUACAUGAUUUGAAGGUUACUGUGGACAUUGCAAAUUACUGUGGACCAAAGGAAAAGCUAUUAAAAGUCUCAAAGAAAACCCAGUAGUUUAUCUUAUAUACUCCUGACAAAAAUAAACAUUUAUUUUUUUUAAAAUGCUACCUUCUUAGAAAAAAAAAAAAAAAGAAUGCUAAGUGUUUUGGGGUAAAAUGUUCUUGUUUCCAAUGCUGUUUACAAUACUACUAAUACUCAGAUAAAUACUAGCAAUAGUCAUUAUAGGGAUUUUUCAGUAUCCUAAGAGAAUAAAUAAAUAUAUCAUUUAAAAAAUCUCUCAAGACUUAUUAUUUUCAGGUAAUAUUCUUUAUUAUGUUAUUAUUUUUAAUUAGAAAAAGCUUGGAAAUGUGAUGCUUGUUUUGCCUAGAGGGAUUUACUUCUAGAAGUUUGUUUUAGCUUUUAUUGCCCAUAGGUACAUUUGCUAAUUAAUGAUAUUUUAGAUGCAGUUUAUAGCUUUUUCAGGAGUUUCCAUGUAUGCGUCCUCACUUGAUUCUGGCUCUCUUAGCGGCCCUGCAUCUUUCUUGUCUCUUGGGUGAGAAGCAGGAGGUCAGGUGACCUGCACAGGGUCAUGUGACAGCCAGUGGCUGAGGCCUUGUAGAACUUAGGUUCAGGGACUGGGGAUUUAGCUCAGCGGCAUAAGCGCCUGCCUUGCAAGCAGGCAGUUGUGAGUUCGAUCCCCGGUACUGAUAAAAAUGAAAAAGACAAAAAAAAAAAAAAAAAAAAGAAUUCAUGUUCAUCCACUUAAUCAUUCCAGGCAUAUGGGGAAGGAGGAAAGGGUCCACGCUGGCUCUUCCUCUGGUACUAUCAUCUUUUGUUCUAGGUGAUGAGUGCUUUUUCAAACACAGUAUGGUUAGAAAUUGGAUGAGGAACAUAGUGAACUGUGGGACAAGAAGUCACCAGACCUCCUCUCCCAAGACCAUAAUAUGUCAUGUCAAGAGCAGAAAAUGGGGCUGGAAUGAGGCAAUUUGAAAUAUUACUACAUUAAUAUCUAUAAAAAUUAUGAUGUAAAUUAAAAGAAACCAGAAGUUUAUAAAGGCAUCUGGUUGAUUUAAGUAUGCUUUUAUAGCACCUUUUUAAAGGGAGAUUAGAAAACCUCAAGAUGAUAUCAAAGUCAGUCAGUAUGGAAACUAUUCCUCAGCUGACCAUUUCCCUUCCAAGCUCCCUGGACUUCAAAGAAACAGCUCAGCAAUUUAGAGAAGAAAUAUACAGGGCCCCGUGCACUUUCUUGAGGGUAGACUGACAGAUGCAGGUGAGGCAUCUAAACAGCUAAGCCAGCAACAACGCUCACACUCAGCCUAGGACUGUGUAAAGUCUGCUUCAUUAAAAGUGCCUUCUAUUGUUGUCUUUGCUAAAUUGCUGAGAAGAGGCAGUGACCUUACACCUAAUCAUGUCAACAACUCAGUGUUAAUUCUUCUGUUUGUAGUAAUGUGAUUCAGAACUGCUCCAAGUUGGACGACUCUUCCCGAGGACUCUGACUUCUCUAGAAUUGAAAAACAGCACAAAGUGCCCUGGCUUCAGCUUUUGGUCGCUGACUAAGCACUUUCCAAGCUGCCUCCAAUUGAAAGACAGACAGGGGAGUCUGAGGAAAUCCUCACUCAGCCAAAUCUAUCCCAGAUGAGAAGGCAAACUUAAUAAGAAUCAGCCGUGAGCUGCUGGCAUGCAGCCUCUAGAAUGCACGCGAUUUAUAGCCAACACGGGCUGCAGAGUUUUCUAUCCUAGUCUCUCUUUUUCAUGCUAAAAAUGUUUUUUUAAAUGCAUGACCAAAUGUUAAUU